rnacentral:lncRNA from 1 species
CGGCAGCCAUGUUAAGCGUGGCGUUUCGGGAAGGGCUGGGGCUGGGCUUGCUUUUACGUAACGGCGUCGCCGCGCCGGAAGUGCUGUGUUUGAUCCAAGAGUUUGUGGUUUUGUGUUUGGCUCCGCUGAUGCUCUUUGGCCUUGGAUAAGCCUUGGGACCUCGAGUUUGUCAUUUGCAAAGUGGCCCGGUUCCCAUAGAGACGUUGUUGGAAUUCACCCAGCUAAAAACAGAAAACUUUUUUUCUUUUUCUUUAGGUUGAGGGGUAGGGAGGGCAGUAAGAUGAUAAUGUUAAAUCAGCUCUUCUCUACAUUUGGAACUCUGUGCAGGUAAUUAACGUAUUUUAACGUUUCCGAAGGGCUUUCACAUCAGUGUCUCAUGAAAAACUCCCUAGCACUCUGACAUAUGGGCAGGAUUCAGCUUAAUCGUUUUUGUUUUUGAGGGAUGAAAACCAUCUUCAGAGGUUUCAGCUUGCCUUAGGCAGUCACAGUUCUAGCCAUUUCAUUCCAUAUGUCAAACCAUAUAUCUUGAUGUGGGGUUCUGAGAAGAAAAUCAAAACAACGACAACAGCAACAAAACCUCAUCAUGUUUAUGUACUAUUCACCUUAAUUGCAGCUUUCAUAUUACAUUCUUCUUGUAAGGGAA